AGGUUAAGCCCGAUGAACCUGAAUAUCCGUUAUGGAAAAUUCAUCAUUAAUACUAUGAUAUUUAUAAUAUCAUAGAAAUAGUGUGCAAUUUUUCCAUAUAAGGACAUUGUAAUCUGUUAUUGUAAUAAAUAUUUAUUAAAAGAUCAAUUACUUUAAGUUUAUUUAAAUUAGUUAUUUUCGGAUUUCUAACAUAGAAUAAAUGUAAUUGAUUUAAUAAAUCAUUGACAGAUUUAAUUGUAUAUUGUGCUUAAAUUUUUCGGAAUUUUACAAUGAUGAAUAAAUCUAUUGAUUUAAUCAUUUAUAUUGUAUGCGCUUUUAUGAUUAACAAUGCGAUAGAUUCAGGAUACCUUCGGGACCCGUCUUGAAACACGGACCAAGGAGUCUAACAUAUGUGCAAGUCAUUGGGUAUUUUUAAUAAAACCCAAUGGCAUAAUUAACUUAACUGUUUUAAAUGGGAUUAGUUUAUAUUUUAUUAUGAAAUAUUAAUUCAAUCCCGGGGCGUUCUAUACAGUUAUGCAUAAUAAUAUUUAUAUUAUUUAUGCCUCUAACUAGAGCGUACCUUGAGCAUAUAUGCUGUGACCCGAAAGUGG
rnacentral:rRNA from 1 species